UACGGAGGGUGCGAACGUUAAUCGGAAUCACUGGGCGUAAAGCGCGCGUAGGCGGUUUGCUAAGUGGGAUGUGAAAUCCCCGGGCUUAACCUGGGAAUUGCAUUUCAAACUGGCCGACUAGAGUACGGUAGAGGGAGGUAGAAUUUCCUGUGUAGCGGUGAAAUGCGUAGAUAUAGGAAGGAAUACCAGUGGCGAAGGCGGCCUCCUGGAUCGAUAUUGACGCUGAUGCGCGAAAGCCAGGGGAGCAAACGGG
rnacentral:rRNA from 1 species